AUUGAACGCUGCGGCAGGCCUAACACAUGCAAGUCGAGCGAGCGGCGGACGGGGGAGUAAUUCUUACGUAUCUGCCUUUUAGUGGGGGACAACAUCCCGAAAGGGAUGCUAAUACCGCAUACUAAUAGAUUAGCUUAAGUCGGAUUAGCUAGUUGGUGGGGUAAAGGCCUACCAAGGAGACGAUCUGUAGCGGGUCAGAGAGGAUGAUCCGCCACACUGGGACUGAGACACGGCCCAGACUCCGACGGGAGGCAGCAGUGGGGAAUAUUAGUCAAUGGAGGGAAGCCUGAUCCAGCAAUGCCGCGUGAGUGAAGAAGGCCUUAGGGUUGGAAAGCGCUUUAAGGUGGGAGUCGUUACUCGAAGAAAAAGCAACGGCUAACUCUGUGCCAGCAGCCGCGGUAAUUC
rnacentral:rRNA from 1 species